rnacentral:tRNA from 1 species
AGAAAUAUGUCUGACAAAAAGAGUUAUCUUGAUAGGAUAAAUCAUAGGGGUGCAAACCCCCUUAUUUCUA